AGACUCAUGAAAGAUUUUAAUAGCAUGCUACAGUGUAGAUAAACUAUUUCUUUAGUACAGGUGUUUCUAUAUAAUCUCCCAAGGAUUCCUCAACAAUCUCAAAAGUAAUUGAAAGGAUUAUGAAAGUAUUUCAGUAUGACAAUGGAAACCAGCUAAAAGCAUACAUUUGUGAGCAGAUAAGGUUCUUUUUUCAACAAACUUAUUCCUCUAACAAAGUUUUUUUUUUUUUUAACUGCUCCAUUGCAAACUGCAGCUUGAUAUGCCGAGAGCACUUAUUUCUAAAUCAGAUAUUUACUGGUUAUUCAUAAAAUGUAAAAGAGAAAAUAGAAAAGGUUACAAAGUUCAAAGGAAAUUACUCUCUGCUUGCAGUUUGACAUAGCUAUGAUCACUGGAGGCUGGGUGAACAGGGCACUGUUCCACCAACCUCAGUCUGCCCUUAGCCAGCCCCUACCUGCCUCUCUCCUUGCUUACAUCUGCUCCAGAGGUUAGCACAGACUGUCAGUUUCCUCCUCCUUAGCCUCAGUGCUGCCCUUGUACAAUUUGGUAGGGAGAAGGAUGGGGACACAAUUCGAGUUAGUUGACUCUGCCUGUCAUUGGCUCAAGCUCCACCACCUCCUCCUUGUCUUCUGCCCUAUUACCAGCUACCAGGGCUUGCCCAAAACAUUUAUGCACCUGAUGAAAACCAGGGGGAAAGUGGGGAGUGAAAACCUACAUCAGAAACAAGGGGGAGUGAAGAUCUACAUUGGGAACAAGGAAGGGAAUAAAAUCAAUGUUACCCAAUUAUUGAAGUGGGAAUCAAAGGUUGCUGCGGGGGGGGGGGGCUCUGAAUCAUGGGUGGAUGCAGACCCCAGAAGCCCCCAGAGGGCAGCCCCCACCAUUUCCUUCCUGGGGGUGGCAGGAGACCAGCAGCACCUUCUAUUUGCCAAGAGACUGCAGUAGAGGUGGCAUGGUAGGGAGCUGCUGAGGAGGUGGAAGAUCUGGCCUCAAAAGAGUGUGAAACAGCAGCAGCAGGCAUUGCAUUCCUUUGAGGCUGGAUCUGCUGCCUUUGUGGGUCCUGCUACCUGAGGUGGGCACCUCACCUUGCUUCAUGGGUGGGCCGGCCCUGCCAGACACCACAGGAUAACAUACUGUACAAAUGAACAGUUGUAAGAAAAGUUAUUUGGCAGACAGAAGUAAUAGUUGGGGUCAGGGACAGGUAUGUUCACCACUCAUUGGCUGCAACAUCAAGUGGUGGACUUCAAUGUUUGUAUGGCAAGUCAGAUGUAUGACAGAACUUUCAUCUCACCCCAGACACAGUUUUGUCAAAGGAUUGAGUUCACAUUUCCAGUGAUCCUUUUUUAGAUGUUAAGGGACCACAUCUAGGGGUGGAGGGGAGGAGAAUCAAGACCACAAACAUUGUCCCAACUACAUGUUCUUCCAUAAAUAUCCGUAGAAUCUAUACAAAUACAAGUGAUACAUGCAUAGCCUCUCUCUCCAUGAUUGGAACCACUGCAAAAAGCAGGAUAUCUAAUUACACACAUAGACCUAUGAAUGCACAUAUAAAGAUCUCCCUCUUCUUUGACCCAAAGGAAGGAAGGAGCAGUCAAAGCCUGAGUACCUUGAAAGCCCCAAUCCUACUUCUUACAACAAAGGAGGAUUGAUGAAUCUCUUGCUCCUAUAUUAGGAGGGCCAGGACUCUGAUGAUUCUUGGGCUCUCAUUUCUGCAUAUCUAAUUCCUGCACAACUUUCAUUUCCAAUGUUUCUUUAUAUUCUUCCUCACUCUGUUGAGUGCCAGUUCUGGGUUGCUGAUUUUUGUGGCUCACCACUGGGUUAUUUUACCUAGAAAGAAAGUGCCUGCUGAAAUCCCUGAAAUCUGCUAUAUUGCCUCCUACACUGUGGCAAUGAUAAAAAUGGAACUAUUCCUUGGAUAUGCUGCCACUACUCUUCCAGCUGUCUUUCCCCAUAAAUUGGAACCAGUGUGGGUCAGUAGGGGUGUAAGAAGGUAUAGUUUUCCAUUCUACUCUGUUCUCAUCACAUGCAGCACUGUUUCCAUUUUACUAUAGUUCCUCUUCCAACAAAAACUACAUUAUUUCUUUUGUAACAUACAUAAUUUACAUAUUUAAUCUUCCCCAGUCUUCCGCAGCCCUAAUCUGGAGAGGAUGAGGCUUGAAGAUUGAGAGAAGUCAUGUGUUUUAAAUGGUCAUUUCAUGUGCUUCAAAUAUAUGGUGUGGAUGUGACCAAAGUUGUGUUUAAGAAAGAAAGAAGGUGAGCAAGACUAAGAAGCUGAGAAAUGGGAAGGGAAACAGGUAGGGGUAUGGAACCCACAUUCCUUCAUGAGGAAUCUCCUGAAGACAACAUACUACUGAUCAGUGUAACUGGAGGAAAAAUGGAUGUGGUCAAAGACAAAAGUGGGCAGUCCAAUAAUUGUUGCCCUGGUUCCGUCAUGGAAACAGUAUUUAGACUCUCGGCAAAAUUAUUUGCAAAAGCUUUCUUCCAGAAUUCACCACAACACACAAACACAGAUCAGGUUAUAAGGUACACACACCAGUGGUUAAAACAGAGCUCUAAAGUUCUUGGCUAGGCAUAAGCUAAGUCAUUGCCCCAACACUUGACACUCACUCUGAGCUCCCCUUUUUGAAAAGCCGGGCAGGCACACUUAUUUGUGUGGGUUUUGUCCCAAAACCAGAGGCCUAGGCAUGCAAGAUGAGAACUUCUAAAGGUGGGCUGGGUCUGCUUAUCCGACCCAAGUCACAUCCUAUCCCUCGAGACAGAGGCAGGGUCAACAGUGUCUGUAUAAUAUCCGGUUCAGGCUCCUGUGCCUCUCUGAGGGUGGGAAUCGCUUCACUGGCAGGAGGCAGAGCAGAGUCUAAGUCACGCAACACUCCCUUGAGGCUCAAGAUGUCCAAUGGUACUGAAGCAGGGUUUUCUUCCAACAACCUGCUUAGCCUCUCCCUGGAGAUCCCUCCCAGGAUCAGGCACUUCACUGUCUUCCCAUUCCUCCUGACCCUCUCACCAGUCUGUCAACAUGUCUCCAGAGGCCUGACAACAGAUGUGCAACUUUCCUUUGUACAUUUCAGCCACACAAAAGUUGGAGGCUUCUGCACACUCAUUCCCAUCUUUCACCCACUUCAAAGAGAGAGUCAAAAAUCCCACAGGGUGCUUAAAAGCUUUUGGGCUAUUAGGAGCCCUUGGGCAUGCCUGAAGUAAUACCUUGCACACAAUCAUAAAAAUAAAUUAAUCCAGUAGCUGUUUUUCUCAACAAAAACUUAACUUGGAGUCCUUGUUCUUUACACUGACUAUUAUUAAGGCAGGAAAUACCUAAACACACACACAUUCUUACAACACUUUUUCAUGUUUGGAAGCUGCUCACUACAUCAAAGCACAUCCUAUUUUAUCAAUCAUAAGCAUCUUUGGCAGCAAAUUUCUCCAAAAGCGCUCCUUCCCGUAGAACCAAAAGCAAGUUUAUUUAAUAUACAACAUUGCAAAAUAUCAUUUUACUUCUGCUAUUUGCCCAAAGGCGGUUAAUUUCAAAUAUGAGAUUCUGACACAAAAUUUACAGCUCAUGUUUCACAACUUUUAUUAAAGUGAGUAAGGGAUGAUGUCGGGGGAUUUAAGAGAGAGAAUUAGCAAUAACUACUGCCAAUUUAGCCCGAUUUGGCAGCUUAUUGAAAAACCAAAUAUGAAGUUAGAAAAAGAGAAGUUAAUCCAGUUGCACUGGGUGGAGGAGGGAUGAAAAUAUAAAAUGUGUACACCGAAGUUUACUAACACUGCUGUGCUGCAGUGUUAAGAUGUCUGGAUUUUAAUGUAUUGUUUCUUCCCAAGAAAGCAAAAACAAUUAAGAUAAUUACACUGUAUAGAUAAUAUUUUCAUUACAGCUAAACUGAAGCUGCAAUGUGUUCUGCAAGUCUUUUUUAGCAAUGCCAGACACACCUCCCCUUCUUUUCUUAAUUUUUAGGGUAAUCAUUGAAAAUGGCUUGCUUGUUUAUUUAAAUUGCCCGCACCCUCAAUUGCCCUCAGUGAUGUCACCCUGCAACCAAGCAUCACAAUGUCAUCCAUUCGCUGUGAGAUAUUCUACUAUCUAUAUAUAAUAACAAUAAACAUGAAAGAAAUGCAAUGUGACAUGCUAGUAUAUUGGUCAAAAAGCCUCAGUUCCAUAGCACUACAGGUAUUGAAGAGUGAAAGGAACAUUAGCGAAAACAGGACAGCACUAGUAUUAUAAUCAGGAAAGCUAGCACAAUAUUCCCCUCAUCGGAAUGCACCCCAGGAUGAGAUUAUAUGUUUGUCAUGUGAUUAACUCUCCAGGACAUCUAACUGCAAACCCAGUCCAAUCCAGCUGAGCAAAGCUGACAGACAAUACAUGUGAUGGGGCAUUCACUCUCCCUUUAUAUAUGUGUGUGUGUCAACCAAUAUGGGGAAAAAAAAGAAAAACAGAAAAAUGAUUUAAAAAACAACAACAGAAUAGAUAUGAUUUUUCCUCUUUCCCUAUGUUCUAUAGUCCAUACACCUGAUAAAUUAGAGAGGUUUGGUGGUAACACAAGGGUGUUUGGUGAUAUAUUUGUCUCAGAUCAUGCAUCAUAUUCUGACAUUUUCAAAUGAUAGAUCAAUACAGAGAGAGAGAGGGGGGGGGAGAGGGAGAGAGAGAGAGGGAAAGAGAGACCCUGUAGUAUUUUAUAAAUAAUGAGAGGUUAGCAAAAAGUGCAGGCAACAAAGAACAAAUCAUAUUUCUACCUGAGGAAUUUUUAAGAUCAUGCCUCAAAUGUGAUAAAUGUGGCGCAUGAGAGUUCUAGUAAAGCUAUUAAUAUGCUGGUUAAUAUAAAGAGUUUC